UACGAAGGGCGCAAGCGUUGUCCGGAAUCACUGGGCGUAAAGGGCGCGUAGGCGGCCCGGCAAGUCUGUGGUGAAAGCUCAGGCUCAACUCUGAGUCGGCCACGGAUACUGCGGGCUCGAGCACGGUAGAGGCAGGUGGAAUUCCGGGUGUAGCGGUGGAAUGCGUAGAGAUCCGGAAGAACACCGGUGGCGAAGGCGGCCCGCUGGGCAACUGCUGACACUGAGGCGCGACGAGCGUGGGGAGCAAACAGG
rnacentral:rRNA from 1 species